AUGGCGGCGGCAGCUGCGGCGGCGUCUGCGGCGUCGCGGGCGGAGGGUCCCCCGCUGCCCGGCCCGCCGGGAGGCCGCCCGCGCCCCGUCUGCUCGCGGCCCUACUUCCUCGUCCUCAUGGUUUUCGCUCACCUCUACGUCCUCAACGUGCUGGGGCUUCUGCUCUUCGUGCACCUGAGCGCCGGUGAGGCCGGCGGGCCACCUGCCGCCACCCCCCCGGCGCCGCCACCGCCGCCGCCCGCCCGCGCCCUCCCGCGCCUCGAGGGCAUCAAGGUGGGCCACACGCAGCGAGUGGAGCUGAUGCCUGGCAGGGCCCACGUCGUGCGCACCCUCAGCCUCAAGCCUCUUCUCUUCGAAAUUCCCGACUUUCUGACAGAGGAGGAGUGCAAGCUCAUCGUCCAUCUGGCACAGCUGAAGGGGCUGCAGAAGAGCCAGAUUCUACCAACAGAUGACUAUGAGGAAGCCAUGGAAAUGAUAGAAAUCAGCCAGAUGGACAUUUUCAAUCUGCUGGACCACAAUCAGGAUGGGCAGCUGCAGCUCAAAGAGGUGUUGACCCACACCCGUCUUGGGAACGGCAGGUGGAUGACCCCCGAAAAUAUCCGGGAGAUGUACACUGCAGUCAAGGCUGAUCCUGAUGGGAAUGGUGUGUUGAGUUUGGAGGAGUUCAAACAGUUGAACAUCCGUGAUUUCCACAAGUACAUGGGAAGCCAGAAAGUGAAGAUGAGCGACUUGGUGCGCAACAGCCAGCACACCUGGCUGUACCAGGGCGAGGGUGCCCAUCAGGUCAUGAGAGCCAUACGGCAAAGGGUAAUGCGUCUGACUCGCUUGCCCCCUGAGAUUGUGGAGCACAGCGAGCCCCUCCAGGUUGUGCGGUAUGACCAAGGAGGGCACUACCACGCCCACAUGGACAGUGGCCCUGUCUUCCCCGAGACUGCCUGCAGCCACACGAAGCUGGUCGCCAAUGAAAGUGCUCCCUUUGAGACCUCCUGCCGGUAUGUGACAGUGCUGUUCUACCUGAACAAUGUGACUGGGGGAGGUGAAACGGUCUUUCCUAUAGCUGACAACAGGACAUAUGAAGAGAUGUCUUUGAUCCAGAACGACAUUGACCUGCGAGACACUCGGAAAAACUGCGACAAGGGCAAUUUGCGAGUGAAACCUCAGCAAGGCACAGCUGUCUUCUGGUACAACUACCUGUCAGACGGAGAAGGCUGGGUGGGGGAGCUGGACGACUUUGCCCUGCACGGGGGCUGCCUGGUUACCCAAGGCACCAAGUGGAUUGCCAACAACUGGAUCAACGUGGACCCCAACCGCCGGCGGCAGCUGCAGUUUCAGCAGGAGAUGGAGCGCGUCGCGGGGGCCGAGGCCGGCGGCGAGUGGUCGGUGGACAAAGCCUACAGCAGGGCGCACCUGGAGCUGUAGGGCCGGGGGCGGCGGCGCGCACGUGGCCUCUUCCCGCGCCGGGCGGGGCGCGUCGCGUCGCGCGCGAAUAAAGCGUGAGAGACGGGAGCGUGUCCGCGUGCUGAGGGGCGGGGCCGGCGGCGCAACAUGGAGGCGGCGGCGCUGGUGGCGCCGGUAACGGCGCUGGAGUUCGCCGGGGACGUGCUGCUGGCGGGCACAGGCCCGGAGGUGGUGGCGUUCCGGCUGAGCGGCGGCGGGCCGGCGGCGGCGGCAGGCCGGCGGAGUGUGCUGUGUGAGGCCAGCGUGCAGGGGCUGCGAGCCGAGCCCGGCGGCGGGGCGGCAGUGCGAGUGGCGG